rnacentral:rRNA from 1 species
GCUCAAAUUUGAAAUCUGGCAGGUUCCCCUGUCCGAAUUGUAGUUUCAAGGUGCGUUUUCGGGGGCGGCUUAGGUCCAAGUCUGUUGGAAUGCAGUGCCAUAGAGGGUGAGAGCCCCGUAGGGCCUGACGUUCGCUCCUGUACGAUACGUAUCCGAAGAGUCGCAUAGUUUGAGAAUGCUGUGCAAAGUGGGUGGUAAAUAUCAUCUAAAGCUAAAUAUUGGCGAGAGACCGAUAGCGAACAAGUACCGUGAGGGAAAGAUGAAAAGAACUUUGAAAAGAGAGUUAAAAGUACGUGAAAUUGUCAAAAGGGAAACGCUUGAAACCAGUAUCGGGACUAGAUUAUCAACCGCAAGGUGCACUAGUCUAGUUCUGGGUUAGCAUCAGUUUGGUUUGGAGUAAAAAGCGAGUGGAAGGUAGCCUUUCGAGGUGUUAUAGCCGCUCGUCAUGCUCUGGACUGGACUGAGGACCGCAGGUAUUUUGGGGAACUUGCCGCCAUGGAAAGCCCAUGUAUAAACAACUUGUUGAUUAUACGUGUUCCCAAGUGCACGGUAGGGUACCACUUCUACCUUAGGAUGCUGACGAAAUGGUUUUAAACGACCCGUCUUGAAACACGGACCAAGGAGUCCAACACACAUGCGAGUGUUUGGGUGGCAAACCCGAGCGCGAAAUGAAAGUAAACGUAGGUGGGAUCCGCAAGGUGCACCAUCGACCGGUCCGGAGAUUUAUGAAAGAUCUGAGUAAGAGCAUGUUUGUUGGGACCCGAAAGAUGGUGAACUAUGCCUGAAUAGGGUGAAGUCAGAGG